rnacentral:rRNA from 1 species
UACGGAGGAUCCAAGCGUUAUCCGGAUUUAUUGGGUUUAAAGGGUGCGUAGGCGGAUUGAUAAGUCAGUGGUGAAAGCCUACAGCUUAACUGUAGAAUUGCCAUUGAUACUGUUAGUCUUGAGUAUAUUUGAAGUGGGCGGAAUGUGCAGUGUAGCGGUGAAAUGCUUAGAUAUUGCACAGAACACCGAUUGCGAAGGCAGCUCACUAAACUAUAACUGACGCUGAGGCACGAAAGUAUGGGGAUCAAACAGG